UGGACUGCAUCAUCUCUCACAAAUCCUGAAAUUUUCCUUUAAUUUCUUCAUUUUCAUCUUGCCCAUUUUCAGUUUUUUUCUUUCUAUCGAUGGCUGAACAAAUCCCAUUUAGCAUUGCAGAAAACUUACUAACAAAGUUGGCCUCAAUUGCUUCUGAAGAAGUUAGUUUGGUGCAUGGCUUCAAAAAGGAUCUUAGAAAGCUUCAAACUACUCUCUCCACCAUCAAAGCAAUACUUGUGGAUGCUGAGGAGAAGCAAGAGGAGAGCCUUGCAGUGAAGGACUGGAUAAGGAGGCUUAAAGAGGUUGUCUAUGAUGCAGAUGAUUUGCUGGAUGACGUAGCAACUGAAGGGUUGCGAAGGAUGGUUGAAGGUGAGGGAAGAAUGGUUAGGAAGGUAUGCGACUUCUUUUCUUCCACUGGUCAAAUUGCAUUUCGUUUCAAGAUGGGUCAUAGAAUUAAAGAUAUUAGAGAGAGGUUAGAUGAAGUGGCCAAAGAAAUGUCCGACUUUGGCUUUAUAAUUAGGAAGGAAGUUGGAGCAUCUAUGGGAAUAAAGAAUAGUUGGAGGGAGACGGACUCCUUUGUAUUGAAAUCAGAAAUUAUAGGAAGAGAUGAUGAUAAGGAGAGGAUCAUAGAAUCAUUGAUGUGUCCAGUCAAUCAAACCAAUAUUUCUGUAGUUGCGAUUGUUGGGUUUGGUGGCUUGGGAAAGACUGCACUUGCCCAAUUAGUGUUUAAUGAUGAGAAAGUGAUGAAUUAUUUUGAUUUGAAGUUAUGGGUAUGUGUUUCUGAGGAGUCAAAUGUUGAAACACUAGUUAAACUCAUCCUUAAAAGUGCAAGCAAUAAUGAAGUUCCCAACUUGUCUUUGGAACAGUUACAGAUUCGCCUUAGACAAUGUUUAGAAGGCAAAAAGUACUUGUUGGUGUUGGAUGAUGUGUGGAAUGUAAACAAUAGGAUUUGGAGUCACUUGAGGAAAUAUUUGAUGGUUGGUGCCAUAGGGAGUAGAAUUUUAGUAACUAGUCGUAGUAAGGGGGUUGCUUUAGCUAUGGGUGUAGACUCUCCAUACCCUUUAAAGGGUCUAACCGAAGAUCAAUCAUGGGAGCUAUUUGAGAAGCUAGCAUUUAGAGAGGGAACAGGAAGGGCGAAUUCAAAUCUAAUAGAAAUUGGAAAAGAAAUGGCAAAGAAAUGCAAAGGAGUUCCACUUGCAAUUAAAGCUAUAGGAGGCAUAAUGCAACUAAGAAGUAGUGAAAGUGAAUGGUUGUCUGUCCUAGAAAAUGAGUUGUGGAAGGUCUACGAGAGUGAUGGUGAUAUUAGUCAAGUGUUGAAAUUGAGUUAUGAUGUCUUACCGUACCAUUUAAAGCAGUGUUUUGCAUACUGCGCAAUGUUUCCAAAAGAUUAUCAUUUUGGUAAGGAUAGAUUAAUUCAGUUGUGGAUGGCACAAGGCUAUGUUCAAUCUCAAAGUCAAAGUGAAAAUGAAAAUUUAGAGGAGAUUGGGGAAGGAUACUUGAAUGAAUUGUUAUUUAGGUCAUUUUUCCAAAAGGAUGAGUAUUGUUAUAAAAUGCAUGACCUUAUCCAUGACCUUGCACAGUCAAUAGCAGGGGAUAGUUGUUUUGCAGUUGAUGAUAAUACUAAACAUAUUCCUGAUAGAGUCCAACAUGUGUUCUCUGGAAGUUUGUCUUUUGAGGAAUGCUUCAGGCAGCUAAAAAAUAAAGGACUGAGGACACUGUAUUAUCCAUAUUUUGGUGAUGGAUUAAGCUUGAAUUUAGAUAAUAUUUUUUUAAAUUGUAGGAGCAUGCGUGCUUUGAGUUUUAGAUGGAAUAUCAAUGGAUUGCCAGAUUCAAUUGGAAAGUUGAAACACCUGAGGUACCUUGAAUUGUUUAGAAAUACUAAAAUCAGUUCACUUCCAAACUGCAUUUGCAGCUCGUAUAAUUUGCAAACUCUAAUACUGUUGGAAUGUCGGGUUCUUAAAGAAUUACCUACAGACAUGAGGAAAUUGAUUUGUCUCGGACAACUUAUUAAUAAGGGUUGUAGUAGCCUUGAAUUCAUGCCAUUGGGGUUGGGGAGAUUGACAAAUCUGCAGACUUUGUCAACUUUUGUUGUGGGAAGUGAUCAAGGAAGGAGAUGUUCCUCAUUGAAUGAGUUGAAUAGCUUAAACCGGCUAAGAGGUAAAAUCUCCAUUAAAGGACUAGAAAAUGUGAAAAAUGCAGCUUUGGAGUCCAGCCGAGUAAAUCUCAAGGAAAAGAAAUACCUUCUCUGCUUAAGAUUAAGGUGGGAUGGCAAGGGAGAUAGCAAUAGUGGAAAUAGUGAGUUGUUGUUGGAUAACCUACACCCUCACCCGAACUUGAAAGAAUUGAACGUUAUGUUCUAUGAAGGUGUGAGGUUUUCAAAUUGGCUUUCUUCUAUAUCUAAUCUCGUCAAUAUUACUUUAUAUAAAUGUCCGAAAUGUGAGCAUUUGCCGCCAUUGGACAAUCUGCCUUAUCUGGAAAUUCUCAAUCUUAGCUAUUUCGAUUCUCUGGAGUACAUAUCAGAUGAAGAUAAUUUAUUCUCUUCUUUAUCUGCAUCAGCAGCAACAUUCUUUCCAUCUCUAAAGAUUCUUAAACUCGAAGUUUGCCCUAAUCUGAAAGGGUGGUGGAGAACAUUUAUGGAAGCAAAGAUGGUGCCUCAAUUUCCUUGUCUUUCUAAAUUAACCAUCGCGAAUUGCCGUAACCUGACUGUGAUGCCAACGUUUCCAUCAGUAGACAUGGAGCUUCAUCUUGCCUAUGCCCACAUAAGACCAUUGCAUUAUACAUUGCAGAUGUCUGCAACGGCUUCUGGAGUACCAUCAACCUCUUCUUUAGUUACUUCUCCUUUUUCCAAAUUAAAGACUUUGUGGUUACAGGGUUUUGAGAAUCUAGCAUCUCUACCUGGAGAGUGGAUGCAGAACCUCAGCUUCCUUGAGGAACUAUUUCUUAGCAACUGCAUGGAAAUUAGUGAUGAGGAUGAGCGUGGCAUAUCCAAAUGGAGAUAUCUUGUUAGUCUCCGAGAUCUCUCUCUCUAUAAUCUUUCAAAUCUGGUGUCUCUACCAAGGGAGCUUCAAUAUGUUACCACCUUGCAACGUCUCACUAUCUACGACUGUUCUAAUUUGAGGGCUUUGCCUGACUGGAUAGGCAACCUCACAGCACUCGAAAAUCUACAUAUCGAUGGCUGCCCUAAACUGGAAUCGCUACCAAGAGGAAUGCAUCAAAUAACUACUUUACAACAAUUUAGUGUUCGCCGUUGCGCCCAUUUGUCUGAAAGAUGCGGACACGAUACGGCUGCAGAUUGGCCCAACAUUUCUCACAUCCCAAAUAUCCGCAUAAAUGGAAAUGAUAUUCAAAAGGAGGGCCGGUAUUUACUGUAAGAAGAAGGAUCCUCUGCUUUCACAGGUUAGGACUUUCUUCGCUUCAUCCCUUUUUUUUAUUUUUUUAUAUAUAUAUAUAUAUUUUAUUUUAAAUGAAAUCACCUAAUUUUUUUCAAACAAAUACUUCUAUCCAGUAGGCUACUCCAUUCUGUCUUCACCUUAAUUUAAGUUAACUUACUUUUCUGAUUCUAUAUGCAGAGAUGCUGGAAUAUAUGUUGCUCUUAUAUGCCGCCAACCUUUUUCAAAUUUUAGAAUGGCUCUUAUGAUGACAGGUGGAUAACAAAACUAAAAAAUCAAAGACUAUGUUAUUUCUAUCAGUAAAUCACAUUGGAAGCAAUGGGAAUUUGCAUUGUGUAUCUAAAAGUCAAUUGCUCUGCAACUUACGUUGCAUCGUCGCUACUCCUUUGAGAAUGGAGAAGCAAGCCACUCAAAGCAAGGUCUAGGAUCAGAGCAGCAGAUCCUGGAGCCUCAAGGACUGGUAUCUUUCAAGAGUCAACAAGUGUGGUUCUGUGAUAUAAGCAGGGUUGGAAGGAUUUUAAUACCUGGUAUAUUUGCAAUCAUUGUUCUAUCCUGAUAGUGAAUUUUCUGAAUUUAAUUGCAAUAUGUUCAUGUGUUAAUCCUUGCAGGUUACCUAGAAUGCAAGUCAUUUUAAGCAAAGGUUGAGAUCAUUUUUAAUUUGUUGUUUUAUAAUAAUUUGAAAUUUUUGAAGCUUAUCAAAGCAUCUUCGGAUUUGGUCUCUCCUGAAUUAUUUGAGAACAAGAUAGUGGAUGCCAUGAAAUUCCAGAUUCUUUGAGAAUGAGUAGAGGGGAUAGUGGGUGCUAUGAAUUCACUGGUUCUUCUUUCAGAGUAGGCAGCUUUUGACUCAGCCGUGAAGAAAUGGUCUGCUGUUAUGACGAAAAAUGGCUUCAGAAUAGGCAAUGGUAAAUAUCAUAUGACCUUGUGAAUAGUGGUUUAAAAUCAAUGUAGAAGAUUUUGGAAGAGAACUAAUGCUCUCUGACAGAUUUACACGUGAAGAUGGUAAUGAUACUUGCAAACUCAGUGCGCUUCUGAAAGAAGAUGAAUUGGUUGUGUGGGAGGAAGAAUCCUUAAGUUUUUUAAUCUUUCAUUGAGGGGACAGACAUCGUUUAAGGUUGCAAAUCUAAGAGCUGCUCUUUUCUUGUUCUUUUCACAAGUGUCUUCAUUAGUGAGCAUCCAUAAAAAGUAGUGAGCUAUUUCACUUGUGGCAACUACCAAUGAGAAACCUUUAUUAAAAUAUAAGGAGUAAAUUGUAAUUUACUUGUAAGUUUAAUAUGGGUGCAAUUGGCAGCUCAGUACCAUGUUUCCACUCUACCUCUUUGGAUUUGUGUUGUGAAAUGUAAGAUUACUUUAAACUUUGGUAGGCUGGCAAUAGCCAAUCAGCUAUGAAACCUUCCCUCAAGAAAUUCAUAAAAGUUGUGAAAUUUGAUUUUGAAGCCCUUUUUCUCCUUACCGGGAGUAGAAUAUAAAAUAUUUUAAAUUUAUUCGGAUAUAUUUAUUAUUAAAUUAAGUCUAUAAAUUUAAAAUUUAGAGAUAAAAGUUAUUUUUUAAUAAAUGAGUUGAUAAAAUAUAUUAAUUUUUUUUUAAUGAUGACCGUUCAAUUUCUCUAAUUUUCUUUAAAUAUCUAUUAAUGAAAAAAAGAAAAUAUAAAAAAUUUCCACAAAAUUGAUAUAAAUUUUUUUAAUCAUCCCAAAUAUAUUUUUUAAGAAAAUAAUUUAUUUUUAUAAUGUUAAAAAAUAAAGGGAUAAUAUGAUUUUUAAAAAUCAUAUUGUUUUUUAAAAAGUGAAAUUUUUUCUUUAAAAAUUAUUUAGAUUUUUUUUAUUAAUUUUGAGUCUUCAAAUGCUAAAAAAAUGCAAAAAAAAUAUUUUAUUGGAAAAAUGUUUUUUUUUCAAAACAAAUGAGCUUGACUUUGGUGUAUGUUAGAGCUGCUAUAUUAAAAAGGUAGCUCAUUAAAUAUGUUGGUUAGGAAUUAUUAAAAAUUAUUUAUUAAAUUAAUUUAAUAUAUUCUAAUCAUAAAAAUAUCAUAAUAAAUAAAUAAAGUUUCAAACUACAUUCUUUAAGAAAAUCUAAAAUAGUAAAUAUAUAGUAAAUUUUCAAUCACAAUCCUAAAUGUUUUCAUAUUUAAAUCACAAUCCUAAAUGUAUUUGCCUGUAAUAAUGGUGAUGUUAUAUAGCUAAAAGCUAAUUAGACAUGAUGUUAUCAUAAAAUAAUAUCACUUGGUGAGGGUUCAAUAAGUUAAUAUAUAGUUUCACUCAUUUCAAGUGAAAAUUCGAAUGUUACAAACAUUCAUUUUUUAAUAAGAAAUGUUACAUUUUUCUGAAUAAGUCGAAUUUUUAUAUAAAAUUACAAUUAACAUACACAAUUUAGUAAAUCUCUAUAACGCCUCUAAUUAUAGAAUUACUGAUCAAUGAGCUGAAAAAUUUUUUUAUCAAUGAGUCGGCUAUACCAUUGCCAGAUUUUAAAAAAUAUUAUAAUUGACUAUAUUUUCUUACAAAUAUAACAAUUAAUGAUAAAAAAAAUAAAAAUAUUUAAUUCUUAUAUAAUUACUCUUGAAUUCUAAGUAUUUGUUUAUAUUCAUCAUAUUCUCUAAGUUUAUUGAUUCAGUAAUUACCGUAGGCGUCAAUCACCCACAUUAUUUUUCUUGUAAAUUUAAUUCAUUACUGUAUAGCUCUAUUUUUCAAUUAUAUCAAAUGGUCUGUCUUGCUUAUUAAAAAAAUUAUGAAAUACAGUUUAAUUUUCUUUAGCAAAACUAUUUAAAGGUAAAUUAUAUUUUGAUUUUUAUAUUUUAACAUAAUUAACAGAUCAUUUCUAUAUUUUUAAAACUGAAUACUUAAAUUUAUCUAUAAUCAGUUUGUCCAAAUUUGAGAUCUCUCCAUUUAUUUAUUUAUUUUUUUUAAAUUGGAGGUUGGGGGAUUCGAACCUGAAAUCUUCUCAGAUUUACUCGGAUGCACUUACCACCAGGCUAAGCCUGUGAGUGUCUCUCUAUUUAAUUUUACAGUUAAAAGUGUAAAAAUAUCUUUAUUACUCUCUUUAAAUGGAUAAACUACACUUAAAUUUUUAAAUUUUAGCAAAAUUAAUGAAUCGAUUUCUAUAUUUUUGAAAUCGUACAUAUUAAAUCCCUCUAUAAUCAGUUCAUCCUCAUCUAUUAUAAUUUAAACAUUUUGAUCCUUCAUUUUUAUUUGAAAUAACACUAAAGUUCUCAUUAACUUUUAUUUAUAAUAUCUCAUUUAACUAAAUUUUAGCAUUUUUUUCUUUAAUUUUCAUUCAUUAAAAUAUUUUAAUAUUUAUAUUUUCAAAUUUUUUUAAAAAUACUUACAAUUUCAGCUAUUUUAAAUAGGUUAUAAACUUUAUAAAGAGUAUUUUAAGAAUCAAUCAUACUUUUAGAAAAAAUUUAACCAUCUACUAACUUUGAACUAAUAUUUAUAAUUGAUAGAAUAACUGUAAUUUUAGACGAAUUAAAUAUAUAGAGAUUUAAGAAUUUAAUUUAAAAAUUAUAAAGACUUAUUUAUCAAUUAUAUUAAAAUUUAAAAAUCAAAAUAUAAUUAUACAAUAUAAAAUUCUCACUUAUAUUAAAAAUAAUUUAAGUGUUUAUAUAAACAUUUUAAGUAUUUGAAAUAUUUAUUUUUUCUUUAAUCAGUUGAAUAAUGAAAUUAUAAAUGAAAAUAUUUUUUACUUAGAUAAAAUAAUUAUAUAAAAUUUUAAAUUGUAAAUUGAAAUUAAUCUAUUAAUUAUAUUAAAAUUUAAAAAUUAAAGUGUAAUUUUUUUAAAAUUUAAAUUAAAAUAUGUUGCUUUUAGGUAGCAGGCGGUGAUGGCGCGGACUUGCUUUGGAGCUCCGUUUGGGCCGCUAUUUUGUCUGAAUGGCUUAGGCAUGUGGCUACUGGCCUGUCCAAUUCCCUAUCUAACAUAAAUUAAAUAGUAAUAGUAAUUUUUCUCUCAUAUUUAAAUGGGAGAUAAUUUAAUCUUGAUUAUUGCUAUUAUUAAUAAAUUAUUUUUAUAUUUUCAAAAAUUUAUUGAAAUAUCUUUAAUUUUUAUCUUUCGUUAAUAAAAUAGUUAUUUUAUCAUUUUUUUCGUUAAAAAUAAAUAAAAUAUAAGAGAAAAUUUUUAAAAUCCAAUUUUACUCUUAAAUAAAACUCUUUAUUUAAUCAUUAAAUAUUACUAUUAUUAACAAGUCAGUCUCUACAUUUUUAAAAAUCUAUUAAAACGUUAUUAUCUUUUCUUAUAUCUAUUAAAAUAUUCUUAGCGUUUCUUUUUAUUAAUGAAAUAAUCUUUAUUUUUUCUCACAUCUAUUAAAACGUCCUUAUUGUUUACUUCCGUCAACAAAAUAGUCCUUACUUAUCAUUUCUUUCCUCAAUAAAAUAGUCCAUCCCUAUAUUUUCAUAAAUUGAUUAAAAUGUCGUUAUCUUUUUUCAUAUUUAUCAAAACGUCUUUAUUGUUUCUUUCCGUUAACGAAAUAAUCCUUAUAUUUUUUUCACAUCUAUUAAAAUGUUCUUAUCGUUUCUUUCCGUCAACAAAAUAGUCUCUCAUCUUCCUCUUUCUCUUCCUCCUCAAAAAAACAAGAAAAAAAAUGAAGAAAAAAAGAAGAUAAUGAUAAAGAAUAAGAAAAAGAAUAAAAAAUAAAGAAGAAGAAAAAGAAAAAUGAGAAGAAGACGAUGAUGAUGAAGAAAAAGAAUAAAAGGAAAAAUUACUUUCUCCUUUUUAAAAAAGAAGAAUAAAAAGAAAAAUUAAAAUAGAAUCAAAAAAGAAAAAGAAAAAGAAGAAGAAUAAGAAGAAGAAGAUAAAGAACCGAUGAAGAAGAAGGAGAAGGAGGAAGACAAGAGGGAUAAUUUGAUUUUUUAUUAUAUUUUUAAUGGUAAAAAUAAAUGAAAUGAUUAUUUUAUUGAUAAAUAGAAAAGAUAAUGACGUUUUAAUAAGUUUCUAAAAUUGUAGGGAGUAAUAUCCAAAAAUUAAAUUAUAAAUCAACCUAAUUAAAUUAAUCAUAUUAAUAUGUCAAAAAUAAAUCAAAUGAAUUAUUAGAUUUUUAAGUAUGAAAUAUACAUAAUAAAUUAAUAAUUUAAAUAAACAAGAUACCAAAUUUUGAAUUUUAAACUAAACUAGUUUAUUUUUUUUUUAAAAAAUAUUAUUUUCAUUUCUCAUUUCUCUUUUAUAUAAUAUUAAAAAAUUAUUAUUUAAUUUUUAUAAUAUAAAAAAUUAUAAAUUAAUUUUUUUAAUUUAAAAAAUAUAAUAAAAUAUUUUAAAUAUUUUACUAAUUAAUUCUUCUAUUAACAUUUGUAAUAGAGAUAAAUUAAUUAAUAAUUUUUUUAAAAAUAUAAAAAAUUAAUUAAUUAAUUUUUUAAAAUUAUAAAAAUUAAAUAAUAAAAUUUUUAAAAAUAAAAAUUAAUAAAAUAAAUAAUCAGUAAAUAUUUUUAAAAUAUUAUAAUAUUUAUAUAUUUUUUUUAAAAUUAAAAAAUUUCUUUAUAGUAUAAAGAAUAAAUACUAAUUUUUGCAGUAAUAUUUUGUGAUUUUAAUUUGGCAUUGACUCGAUCAUGAAGUCUUUGUCUUUGUCGGUACUAAAUACAUAAAUUCUAAUUUAAUUUAUUUUAAUUUUAGUUUGUUUGGUGUGGGUCUGUGCACACAUCUCUGGUGUCCAUAAAGUCUCCAUAAAUACUCUCCGAGUCAGAUGUGACUCUGCCUGAACAGCCCUUAAAGCUUUAUAAUAAAAAUCAUACUAAAUUAAAUUUGUUUUUAUUUUAUUUUAUUUUUUAUUUUUUAUUAUUUUACUGAAAACCCAAUUAAAAUAGUAUUAAACUGGUAUCGUAUCCAAACUCACAUUAUAUACAUAUUUUUUAUAAUUUUUAUAUUAUAUAUAAUAAUUUAUAUUUUAAUUUUUAAUAUAAUGAUCAAAUCAAUUUUUAUAUUCUUAACAUAAAAAAUUUAAACUUCUCUAUAAUUCAUCCAUUCAAAUUAAAUAUUCUAUCAUUCAUCUCUUAUUAUUAAAAAUAUUAUUAUUCUUUUAAAUAAAUAAACUAAAUUUUAAUUCUUAAAUUUAAGUAUAAUUAUUUAAUUUAUUUUAUGUAACGACCCGGAAACCGGACCACUACCGGCGCUAGGAUCCAAAUCGGCUUAAGGCAGCCGGAACCCGUAGCAAGCCUAACAUGCAUCCUGAGAACCUGUAUAAUCUCAUACAUGAUCAACAAACAUACAUAAAAACUGUAAACUUUUUUCUUUUUCUUUUCAUACAUUCUUUCAUAUACCAAACUCAACCUGAUCAUACCAUAACUAUACAUUGAUCCCUCUGUGGGAUCUCAUCAAUGCCCCAAUGGGCUACAUACAUAUGUUGAGUUGGUUUACAUCUGUGACAUAAAACAUCUAGGAUCAUAUAAUAAAAGGGACAACAUCAUAGGGUCAAGCACAUCUCUAAACCUCAAUCAUCAUCAUCAUUACAUAACAUACUAUACAAUACUCUUACAUCAUAUUACAAUUUUCAUGUCCACUACCUAUCUAUUACAAGCAUAAAACAUUACUCUUCUUGACUUCUCUGUCUAGCCCGUACCUGCAAACCUGGGGUUAGGGGAGAGGGGUGAGCUAAAAAGCCCAGUGAGCAGAAUAGUAAAAAUAUUGAAUUUAUAUUUCAUGCCUUCAUGAAAUGCAACAUAGCACAAACAAAUCACAUCAAUGAUGAACUUGUCACCAAUAGUCCUCUACAUAAUCCAAACAUGCCAGGGGCGUAGAAUGGGCCUCACUGGUCUUUCUCUUAACAUAUCAUAUCAUACAUAUCAUUCCAUAGUGCCAGGGGCGUAGAAUGGGUCUCACUGGUCUUUCUCUUUCUCUGUGCCAGGGGCGUAGAAUGGGCCUCACUGGUCUUUCCAUACCGUAUCAUCAUCAUGCUAUAACAUAUGAGGACUAAAGGAUCAUUCAAUAUUCAUCCACAUCAUCAUCAAGUUAUACAAUGCAACAUAUUCGUGAUUCUAAUGCAAACAACCUAGUACAUCUCAUGGCAUACGUGAUGCAUGUAUCAUGCUCAACAUUUAUUUAUUAGUUUGAAACUUAAGAAGUUAUUCCACUCACCUCUGGCUAGCUCUGACCAGACACUGGGGCAGCUGACUCACUGCUGGGGUCCUCGGUUCCUCGGGUCCGAACCUACACAGGUGGACUCAAAUGAGGGACCAAACAUACUGAAACAUAACUCUAAACUACUCCCCAAAAACCCCCUAAAACAUCAUAAAACAUUAAUGCAAAAACAUGCAAGAAAUGGCUGAACAGGGCACUUUCGGCGGCAGGUUCGGCGGCCGAAAGUCCCUCCAAAGCCGAAAGUCAGGCAGGUUCGGCGGCACCUUCGGCGGCCGAAACUCCCAGACAGAGACGAAACUCAUGCAUGUUUGGGGGCACCUUCGGCGGCCGAAACUGCCCGACAGAGCCGAAACUCCUCUUUCGGGGGCAAGCUUCGGCAGCCGAAUGCUGCCUCCACAAGAGGGUUCGGCGGCCGAAAGUCCCCUUCGGCAGCCGAACCUGGUUUCUCCCAAAAGGGCAGAAACUCUGCUCAACAUGCACAAAUGCCUCCCAACUCCUCCAUCAUGCACAAACCUAUGCUACAACACUCCCAAACAUGCAUAUAAGCUCCUAGGGGCUCCAAACUAUCCUAAGCCCCAACUACAACACAACAAACAUGCAUAUCACAAGCCACAUUGUACAAAAUCAUGCAUAAAACCCAUAAACUCUACUUAAGCUUACUCAUGCAUUUCUACCCCAUGAACUUGCAUAAAACUUGUUUAAAACAUAAAAUGAACUUAAGAUCGGCUCUUACCUCUUGAAGAUCGAGAAUGAGUCGACUUAAACUCGGAGAUGGGAGAUCUUUAUCUUCCUUGGGUCUCCAAGCUCAAAACUUGCUUAAAAUCGUCAAAUACCUUCAAAUCGACAAAAACAUUGUUAAAAACGAAAGAUCUGAAGGAAAAGCAUUGAAAACAACCUUAGGAGGGCAUAAGCUCACCGUGGCCGAAAAUGGGGAGAAAACUCGCCCGUUUCGGCCAUGGAACUCAUAUAUAGGGGCUGCCAGACCACCUUUCGGCUGCCGAACGUGCCCCCACAUCUCAUGCAUGUUCGGCGGCCGAACAUGAGGUUCGGCGGCCGAACCUUUAAAACUUUCGGAAGCCUAACUUACCCUCCAAAACCAUCCCAUGUUCGGCGGCCGAACUUGGGGUUCGGCGGCGAAACCUGGAAAAGUCUCCUUAGUCUUUUUCAUACAAAACUCAGUUUCCUUUUUAUUUAAAAACAUUAAAUACAUGAAAAACAUUUGUGAAAACAUGAUUCUACCCUUCUAGAGGUCUCUGACAUCCAAAUUCCACCGGACGGUAGGAAUUCCAGUACCGGAAUCUAGCCGGAUAUUACAUUUUAAUAUUUUUAAAAUUAAACAUUUAAAUAUCUUUAUAAUUAAACUUUUCAUAUAUUUAUUUUUAUUAAAAAUAUAAAAAUAUUUUUAUUAUUUUUUAAAUUAAAAAUAUUAAUAAAUUAGAUUUCAUUCAUUUCACUCAUUUAUUAAAAUUUAAAUAGCUAAAUUUAUUUUUUAUUUUUUAUUUGAUAUAAUACUUAAAAUUAAAUUUUAUCUAAAUUAUCACAUUCAAUUAAUUUUUAAUAUUUUUACUAUUUAAUUUCUAUUCAUUAAAAUAUUUUAAUAUUAAAUAAUUUCAAAAUUUUUAAAAGUAUUUAUAAAUUUAAUAAUUUUUAAAUUGUAUUAUAUAUUUAUAAAUAAUAAACUUUACGCCGUAUUCUUAGAGAAAAAAAAUUAUAUUUUUAGAAAUUUGAUAAUAAAGUAGCUUUUAACUAAUAUAUAUAAUGUUUAAAAAAAUUGAAUAUAAAAAAUUUACAAUUUUAGUUUUAAAAAUAUAAGAUUAAUUUAUUAAUUAUAUUUAAAAUUUAGAUAUAAAAUUAUAAUUUAUGCCAUAUAAAUAAUUUUAUCUACAUUAUUAUAUUUAUUAAAUUAUUUUAAAUAUUUAUUUUUUAAUUUAUUAAUUGAUAUAUUUUUUAAAAUUAAUAAAUUUUUUAUAUAAAUAAAAACCUACAUAAUAUAUUAGAUUCAAAUCCCAACAAGUCAAGAUACGACUAACAAGAGAGAUGGGCCCGCUGGCUAUGGAUGAGUAAAGACUGGUGAAUACUGAAUAGAAGGGUAUGUAAGAGUUGACCGGCGAUGACUGCUUAUAGUUAUAUAAUUAAAUUAAGCGUGGGUAUUAAAUUUUUUUAUAUUAUUAUUAUAUAACAUUAUUUUAUAAAAUAAUAUUUUUUUAGUAUAAAUUUACUUCACUUGUUAAGAAAAAUAAAAUAUUUAUUUAAAAAUUUUAAAUUCAAAAUAAUAAUUAAAUACAAAUUUAUGCACUAUAAAUCUCAAUUGUAACAAAUAAAAUUAAAAAUUUCAAUAAAUAAUAUAUAUUAAUAAAUUUAUUCAACAAAUUAUAUUUUAAAAAAAAUAAAGUUUAUUAAAUUGAAUAAAUCUCAAUUAUAGCAAAUAAAGUUUAUAAAUGGAAUAGAGAAUGAAAGAAUUAUUUUAUUGAUAAGAAAAAAAUAUAAAAUAUUUUAAUAAAUUUUUAAAAAUUUAUGGACUGACUUAUUAAUAAUGAUAAUAUUUAAAAAUUAAAUUAUAAUUUUUUUAUAAUUAUUACACUUAUUAAUAAUAUAAAAUAAAAUAAAUUUCAUUUAAACAAUUAAGUUCAUUUUUCAUUUGAAAAAAUAUUUAAAUUCUCAUUAAACUUUGUUUAACCUAUCACAUUCAAUUAAUUACUAUUUAAUUUUUAUUUAUUAAAAUAUUUUAAUAUCAUAUAACUUCAAAAUUUAAAAAAAAAAUUAUAAAUUUAAUAUUUUUAAAUGGUAUCAAAUAUUUAUAGAUUAUAGACUUUAUACUAUAUUUUAAAAAAAAAUUAUAUUUUCAAAAGUUUGUUCAUUUAGUAAUUUUUAAUUAAUAUUUAUAAUAAAUAAAAAAAUUAUAAUUUUAGAUAAAUUAAAUAUAAAAAAUUUAAGAGUUUAAUUUUAAAAAAUAUAAAAAUUAAUCUAUUAAUUAUUAAAAUUUAAAUAUAAAAUUAUAAUUUAUAUAAUAUAAAAAAAUUUAUCCAUGUUACUUUAUUUAUUAAGUUAUUUUAACUUGUGAACUAAUAUGGAUAGAAAAAUAAUAGAACCACCUCUGAUUUGAGAGCAGAGAAUUAAUGGAGUUGACGAGCGAUGACUUGAUUGCAAUUUCCAGCCAAGGAAUUAAAUUGCUUUGUCCUUUGCUUUUAUAAAGUAAGGCCCAUUGCACGUCAAUAUUCUAAAUUUAUUUUAAAUAAAUUAAUAAUUUUUUUUUAAAUUAUAAAAAUUAAAUAAUAAAAUUUUUAAAAACAAAAAUUAAUAGAAUAAAUAAUCAGUAAAUAUUUUAAAAUAUUAUAAUAUUUUUAUAUAUUUUUUAAAAUUAAAAAAUUUCUUUAUAGCAUAAAGAAUAAAUAUUAAUUUUUAUUUUAAUUUGACAUUGACUCGAUCAUGAAAUUUUUGUUUUUAUCGGUACUAAAUACAUAAAUUAUAAUUUAAUUUAUUUUAAUUUUAGUUUGUUUGGUGUCAGUCAAUCGACACAUACAAAAUUUAAAAAUUUCACUCAUAUUAUUAUAUUUAUCAAAUUAUUUUAAAUGUUUAAAAUAUUUAUUUUUAAAUUUAUUAAUUAAUAUAAUUAUGGAUGUAAAAAAUCUCUAAAAUUAUAGAGGACCUCUGAUUUGAGAGCAGAAUAGAGAUAGGAAGCAGAGAAAUGAAGAACACAAGUGUGAGAGGGUGAAUAGAGGUUAGGUAGGAGUUGACGAGUGAUGACUUGAUUGCAAUUUGCAGAAAAAGAAUUAAAUUGCUUUGUCCUUUGCUUUUAUUUUUUAAUAAAUAAAAUCAAAAAUUUUAUAAAAUAGUAAUAAUAUUUUAAAGGGAGAUUUAUAAUUUAAUUUCUAGAUAUUAUUAUUAUUAAUAAAUCAAUAUUUAUAUUUUUAAAAAUUUAUUAAAAUAUUUUUAUAUUUUCUUUUUCGUCGAUAAAAUGGUCAUUCCGUCCUCUAUUAAAAUAUUUUUAUAUUUUCUUUUCCAUCAAUAAAAUAGUCAUUCCGUCCUCUUUUCCGUUAAAAUUAGAUAAAAGGUAAGAGAUAAAAUUUUUAAAUUCCAAUUUUAUCCUCAAAUAAAAUAUUUUAUUUAAUUCUUAUCGUUUCUUUUCGUCAACGAAAUAAUUCCUAUAUUUUUUACAUCUAUUAAAACGUUCUUAUCGUUUCUUUUCGUCAACGAAAUAGCUCUUCCUCUCUCGACCUUCUCCUCUCCACCUCCUCCUCCUUCCUCCUCUUCCUCCUCUUCCUCCUCCUCCUCAUUAUCAUCAUCAUUAAAAAAGAAAAAAAAAAGAAAAUGAUGAUGAUAAUGAUGAAGGAGAAGAAGAAAAAGAAGAAGGAGAAGGAGAAGAAGAAAAAGAAGAAGGAGAAGGAGAAGAAGCAGAAGUGAAGAAAAAGCAGAAGAAGCAGAAGUAGAAGUGAAGAAUCGAAAAAGAAAGAGGAAGAAUCGAUGAAGAAGAAAGAGGAGGAGAAAAAGGAAAAGAAGGAGGACAAUUUGGUCUUUUAAUAUAUUUUUAACUGCAAAAAUAAAUAGAAUGACUAUUUCGUUGACGGAUAAAAAAGAUAAGUACGUUUUAAUAGAUUUCUAAAAAUACAGAGACUUGACUGAUUAAUAAUGCCAAUAUCCAAGAACUAAAUUAUACAUCUCCCUAAUUUAAAUUUAAUAUAUCAUAUUUUCUUCCACACCUUAUAUAUAUUGGAUCAUUAAUUAUGGACUGCAUCAUCUCUCACAAAUCCUGAAAUUUUCCUUUAAUUUCUUCAUUUUCAUCUUUGCUCAUUUUCAGUUUUUUUCUUUCUAUCGAUGGCUGAACAAAUCCCAUUUAGCAUUGCGGAAAACUUACUAAUAAAGUUGGCCUCAAUUGCUUCUGAAGAAGUUAGUUUGGUGUAUGGCUUCAAAAAGGAUCUUAGGAAGCUUCAAACUACUCUCUCCACCAUCAAAGCAAUACUUGUGGAUGCUGAGGAGAAGCAAGAGGAGAGCCUUGCAGUGAAGAACUGGGUAAGGAGGCUUAGAGAGGUUGUCUAUGAUGCAGAUGACUUGUUCGAUGAUUUUGCAACUGAAGGUUUGAGAAGGAAGGCUGAAGGUGAGGGAAGAAUGGUUAGGAAGGUAUGCGACUUCUUUUCUUCCUCCAAUCAAAUUGCAUUUCGUUUCAAGAUGGGUCAUAGUAUUAAAGAUAUUAGAGAGAGGCUGGAUGAAAUCGCCAAAGAAAUAUCUGACUUUGGCUUUAUAAUUAGGAAGGAAGUUGGAGUAUGUAUGGGAAUAAAGAAUAGUUGGAGGGAGACAGAUUCCUUUGUAUUGAAAUCAGAAAUUGUAGGAAGAGAUGAAGAUAAGGAGAAGAUCAUAGAAUCAUUGAUGUGUCCAGUCAAUCAAAGCAAUAUUUCUGUAGUUGCAAUUGUAGGGUUUGGUGGCUUAGGAAAGACUGCACUUGCCCAAUUAGUGUUUAAUGAUGAGAAAGUGGUGAAUUAUUUUGAUUUGAAGUUAUGGGUAUGUGUUUCUGAGGAGUCAAAUGUUGAAACACUAGUUAAACUCAUCCUUAAAAGUGCAAGCAAUAAUGAAGUGCCCAACUUGUCUUUGGAACAGUUACAGAUUCGCCUUAGACAAUGUUUAGAAGGCAAAAAGUACUUGUUGGUGUUGGAUGAUGUGUGGAAUGUAAACAAUAGGAUUUGGAGUCACUUGAGGAAAUAUUUGAUGGUUGGUGCCAUUGGGAGUAGAAUUUUAGUAACUAGUCGUAGUAAGAGGGUUGCUUUAGCUAUGGGUGUAGACUCUCCAUAUGCUUUACAGGGUCUUACUGAAGAUCAAUCAUGGGAGCUAUUUGAGAAGCUAACAUUUAGAGAGGGAACAGGAAGAGUGAAUUCAAAUCUAAUAGAAAUUGGAAAAGAAAUGGCAAAGAAAUGCAAAGGAGUUCCACUUGCAAUUAAAGCUAUAGGAGGCAUAAUGCAACUAAGAAGUAGUGAAAGUGAAUGGUUGUCUGUCCUAGAAAAUGAGUUGUGGAAGGUAUUCGAGAGUGAUGGUGAUAUUAGUCAAGUGUUGAAAUUGAGUUAUGAUGUCUUACCAUACCAUUUAAAGCAGUGUUUUGCAUAUUGCGCAAUGUUUCCAAAAGAUUUUGCGUUUGUUAAGGAUAAAUUAAUUCAGUUGUGGAUGGCACAAGGCUAUGUUCAAUCUCAAAGUCAAAGUGAAAAUGAAAAUUUAGAGGAGAUUGGGGAAGGAUACUUCAAUGAAUUGUUAUUUAGGUCAUUUUUCCAAAAGGAUGAGUAUUGUUAUAAAAUGCAUGACCUUAUCCAUGACCUUGCACAGUCAAUAGCAGGGGAUAGUUGUUUUGCAGUUGAUGAUAAUACUAAACAUAUUCCUGAUAGAGUCCAACAUGUGUUCUCUGGAAAUUUGUCUUUUGAGGAAUGCUUCAGGCAGCUAAAAAAUAAAGGAUUGAGGACACUGUAUUGUCCAUAUAUUGGUGAUGGAUUAAGGUUGAAUUUAGAUAGUAUCUUUUCAAAUUGUAGGAGCAUACGUGCUUUGAGUUUUGGAUGGAAUAUCAAUGGAUUGCCAGAUUCAAUUGGAAAGUUGAAACACCUGAGGUAUCUUGAAUUUUUUAGUUCUAAUAUCAGUUCACUUCCAAACUGCAUUUGCAGCUUGUAUAAUUUGCAAACUCUAAUACUCUGGGAAUGUCGGAUUCUUAAAGAAUUACCUACAGACAUGAGGAAAUUGAUUUGUCUCGGACAACUUAUUAAUAAGGGUUGUGGUAGCCUUGAAUUCAUGCCAUUGGGGUUGGGGAGAUUGACAAAUCUGCAGACUUUGUCAACUUUUGUUGUGGGAAGUGAUCAAGGAAGGAGAUGUUCCUCAUUGAAUGAGUUGAAUAGCUUAAACCGGCUGCGAGGUGAAAUCUGCAUUAAAGGACUAGGAAAUGUGAAAAAUGCGGCUUUGGAGUCCAACCUAGUAAAUUUCAAGGAAAAGAAACACCUUCAGUGCUUAAGAUUAACCUGGGAUGGCAAGGGAUAUAGCAAUAGCGGAAAUAGUGAGUUGUUGUUGGAUAACCUACAACCUCACCCGAAUUUGAAAGAAUUGAAUGUUAUGUGCUAUGAAGGCGUGAGGUUUUCAAAUUGGCUUUCUUCUAUCACAAAUCUCGUCAAUAUUACUUUAUAUAAAUGUCCGAAAUGUGAGCAUUUGCCGCCAUUGGACAAUCUGCCUUAUCUGGAAAUUCUCAAUCUUAGCUAUUUCCAUUCUCUGGAGUACAUAUCAGAUGAAGAUAAUUUAUUCUCUUCUUUAUCUGCAUCAACAACAUCAUUCUUUCCAUCUCUAAAUAUUCUUAAACUCGAAUCUUGCCCUAAUCUGAAAGGGUGGUGGAGAACAUUUAUGGAAGCAAAGAUGGUGCCUCAAUUUCCUUGUCUUUCUACAUUAACCAUCUCUAAUUGCCCUAACCUGACUUUGAUGCCAAUGUUUCCAUCACUAGACAUGGGGCUUCAUCUUGCCUAUGCCCACAUAAGACCAUUCCAUUAUACAUUGCAGAUGUCUGCAACGGCUUCUGCAGUACCAUCAACCUCUUCUUCAGUUACUUCUCCUUUUUCCAAAUUAAAGACUUUGUGGUUACAGGGUAUUGAGAAUCUAGCAUCUCUACCUGGAGAGUGGAUGCAGAACCUCAGCUUCCUUGAGGAACUAUUUCUUAGCUACUGCAUGGAAAUUAGUGAUGAGGAUGAGCGUGGCAUAUUCAAAUGGAGAUAUCUUGUUAGUCUCCGAAAUCUCUCUCUCUCUAAUCUUUCAAAUCUGUUGUCUCUACCAAGGGAGCUUCAAUAUGUUACCACCUUGCAACGUCUUACUAUCCGCGAAUGUUCUAAUUUGAGGGCUUUGCCUGAAUGGAUAGGCAACCUCACAGCACUCCAAAAUCUAUGUAUCAAUGUCUGCCCUAAACUGGAAUCGCUACCAAGAGGGCUGCGUCAAAUCACCACUUUACAACAGUUGAAUGUUACCCUUUGCCCCCAUUUGUCUGAGAGAUGCACACACAAUAUGGCUGCAGAUUGGCCCAACAUUUCUCACAUCCUAAAUAUCCAUAUAAAUGGAAAUCAUAUUCAAAAGGAGGGCCGGUAUUUAUUGUAAGAAGAAGGAUCCUCUGCUUUCACAGGUUAGGACUUUCUUCGCUUCAUCCCUUCUUUUUUUUAUAUUUUAUUUUAAAUGAAAUCACCUAAUUUUUUCAAACAAAUACUUCUAUCCAGUAGGCUACUCUAUUCUGUCUUCACCUUAUCUAAGUUAACUUACUUUUCUGAUUCUAUAUGCAGAGAUGCUGGAAUAUAUGUUGCUCUUAUACACCGCCAACCUUUGUCAAAUUUUAGAAUGGCUCUAAUGAUGACAGGUGGAUAACAAAACUAAAAAAAUCAAAUACCAUGUUAUUUUUAUCAGUAAAUCACAUUUAUGAACUUUAUUUUUCUCACAGUUUCACCUUCUUGUUACCCUUUAGCAUCUGAAGAAUAUUUUAUCCUCAAUCAAAUACUAUGUUAUACAACUCUUGAUUCUUCCAAUUCUGAACACAAAUUAUGUCUGCAGGCAAUAGAAGCAAAUGAGGUUUGUGGUGUGGCAGAUGAUUUCUGGAUGUUGUAAUUGACUCAUUGACUAUUAUACAGGUUCUUAUCUCUUAACCAGUUUUUUGGGAUUUUAUAUUUUUUAAAAAAUUUUUGCCAUAUUUUAUUAUUCUUUUAAUAUUGCCGUAAUUUAGCAAUUACCUUUUUUAUUUUGUCUUAUAUGCAGAACUGGAAGGAUGUGGAUAACUUGAAUUAACUCUUGGAAUAGACAUUUGAAUUAAUUUUGCAUUUUUGGAAGCAAUGGGAAUUUGCAUUCUGUAUCUAAAAGUCAAUUGCUCUCCAACUUACUUUGCAUCGUCGCUACUCCUCUGAGAAUGGAGAAGCAAGCCACUCCAAGCAAGGUCUAGGAUCAGAGCAGCAGAUCCUGGAGCCUCAAGGACUGGUAUCUUUCAAGAGUCAACAAGUGUGGUUCUGUGAUAUAAGCAGGGCUUGAAGUAUGUUGAUACCUGGUAUAUUUGCAAUCAUUGUUCUAUCUUGAUAGUGAAUUUUCUGAAUUUAAUUGCAAUAUGUUCAUGUGUUAAUCCUUGCAGGCUACCAAGCAUGCAAUUGAUUUUAAGCAAAGGUUGGAUCUCGUGUUUAAUUUGUUGUUUUAUAAUAAUUUGAAUGUUUUGAAAGUUAUCAAAGCAUCUUCUGUUUUGGUCUCUCCUGAAUUGUUUGAAAAUAAAGUAAUGGCUCCAUGAAUUCCUAGAUUCUUUGAAAGUGAGAUGGAUCCCAAGUGUCUUAGAGGAGGAGUGGAGGAAAUAAUCGGUGCUGUGAAUUCACUUGUUCUUCUUUCAUAGUAGGCAGCUUUUGGCUCAGCCGUGGAGAAAUGGUCUGCUGUCGUGACAAAAAAUGGCUUCAGAAUAGGCAAUGGUAAAUAUCAUAUGACCUUGUGAAUAGUGGUUUAAAAACAAUUUAGAAGAUUUUGGAAGAGAACUAAUACUCUUUGACAGAUUUACAGGUGAAGAUGGUAAUGAUACUUGCAAAUUCAGUUUGCUUUGAAAGAAUAUGCAUUGGUUGUGGGGGAUGAAGAAUCCUGAACUUUUUUAAUCUUUCAUUGAGUGGACAGACAUCGUUUAAGGUUGCAAAUCUAAGAGCUGCUCUUUUCUUGUUCUUUUCACAAGUGUCUUCAUUAGUGAGCAUCCAUAAACAGUACUGAGCUAUUUCACUUGUGGCAACUACCAAUGAGAAAGCAGAAAGCUUAUACUCUCUCUAUCCAUGUGCUAAUCCUUGUAGGCAAUCAACAGAUACUGGAACCUCAACAACUUCCUCUGGGAGAACGAAGCAGAAAUUCUUAAAUUUUUGAAAGGUAUAAAAACAUUUUAUAACGAAAUAUCCAUUGAUUUAGUUUUUCACUGAGUGGACAAAUAUCUCUUAAGAUAGCAAAUUGAAGAGCUCCUUUUUUUUUCUUUUUCACAAGUGUCGUCAUUAUAGAGAUGUGCAUCCAUCAGAAGUCCUGGGCUAUUCACUUAUGGCGAACUGCCACUGAGAAAGCAGAAUGCUUCUUAUAGAAACAUGAUGGUAAAAGAAUCCAAACUUCCUCUCUCUCCUUAAGUACUUUCCACUUCAUUUUCUUAUAUGCCUCAGCUUUUAUUUUUAUAGGCUGAAAGAAUCGCAUACUUUUUCUGAUAUGUUGACUUGGAGCAGACAUUCAUUCUUGGAGUUCCAUUUAGUUGAACUCCUCCUCAUUGGAAGCUCUCCAAGGCCACACCAAAACCCCAGAAGGGCUUCAGCUCAUUACCGCUCUGCAAUUAAUGCCUCAGAAUUGGAAGCUGUCAGGCUUUGUUGUUCAUAUCCCUCUGAUUAGAAGAAUCAUGGUGGGGAGAUGGUUCUUUUUCUGAUUCUUCAAGUCUUCUCCUUCCAGAAACUAUUGGAACCAUUUCUGGACUAGAAAGGGAGAUGGUUGUCCCUGAAUUCUUACCAUUUCAUCACUUGCUAGUCUUGCUGAAGUUACACAUGCAUUCAUUAUGAGGGAAUUUCAUGGAGAUUCUGUAGAGCCAAAGCUGAACAUUUUAAUUCAGCUGCUCGUUCAUUGGCUAGAUGUCAUCUAGCUGGCUAGAAGUUCAAUUCUGAAGGCUUGGUUUAGCUAAUGUUUAGAUGUGCCAAUGAAGUGUAAAUUUCAGAUUUUCUUUUUUAAUGUAUUGUAUUUUCUUUACACCUCUAAAUAUAAUCAUUUACAAGUUGUCCCUUUAAAUUCAAUGCUCCAUUGAUUAUGAGUUUCAGAAGCUCAUCCUUUCCUUGAACCAAUAAUCAAGAUUCUGUCUCAGUCCAUUGCAAUAUCAGCGUCCAAUUUAAUGCCUAAUACUAAAUUCUCUUCAUAAAAAAAUAUUAUAGAUAUAAUGACUUAUUUACUCAUUUUAUAAAAUAUCAAAGACCAAAAUUAUUAUAGAUAUAGUGACUUAUUUAUAUUGUGAUAUAAAUAUAUAAAUAAGUCUAUAACAAAAUAUUAUGAAUUUUUUUUUUACUAUUUCAUAAUAGUACUAAUUUAUUAAUUUGAUAAUUUUUUAAAAUUAUAUCUAUUAUAAUCUAAUUAAUAAAUGUUAUAUAUUUUUAUUGAUAUGAUGUGAAUAAUUAUAUAGAAUAAAUAUAUAUAAUUAACUAAAAUUACUAUAAAAAAAUAUUAAUUAUGAUAAAACAUAAAACAAUUCAAAAAUUAUUAGAAUUACUGUAUAAAAUAUUAUCAAACUAAAAUUUUAUUUUAUUUAAAUAAUUUAUUAAAAAACUAUAUAAUAAAAAGUAAAAUAGGUUUUUAAUACAAUUAAAAUUACAAAUUUUUAACCGUCAAAUUAUUAAAUUUAAAUUAUUAUAGUUUAUUAUAUAAUAAUUGUAGUAAUUUUAAUCUCUUUUCUUUCUAUAAAAAUGUAAUCCUCAUAUGUCUAUCCUAUGUAAAAUCCAUUGGAACGAUCUUAAUUCUCCACACAAUUUUAUUUUAUUUAUUUUCAAAUGAUUAGUGUUUAAAAUUUUUUUUUUAUUAUUGUUUUCUUGGCAUGAGAUAUAUGGUUUACAAUCUUUCUGGUCAACUGAAUAAUUUUGGAUAGAUAGAAAUUGGAUGAGAGUAAUUUAAAUGUUAGAAUUCUUUGAUUCACAUGAUUCUCUUUUUAAAAAAUAUAAUUAUUUGAAUAAAAUUUAUUAUUGAAAAUUAAUAAUACAUGAUAAUAAAUACUAAGAUUUUUAAUUUAUUUAAUACAAUAAAAUUUGUUGAUGCAUGACUUUAUAGUUGAUUAAUAUUUGAAAUCUUUAAAUUUUUUACUUUAAAAUUAAAAAUCAUACAUAUUAAUUAAAUUUUUAAUUAUUUUCUACAAUUAUUUUCUUUGUUUUAUAAUAUAGUUGGCCUAUUUAACCAAUAGUUUUUUUUAUAUUAUUUUAGAUUUUAAGAGAUAAAAUAAUAUAUUAUAAUAUAAAUCAAUAAUUUCAUGUUCAAAAUCUAAAUAUAUAAAAAAAAUAUUUUACUACUCUUAAUAAUUGGAGUGAAUUCAUAAGAAAAAAAUAUUAUUUUAUAAAAUAAUUUUAUAUAAUAAUAAAUAAAAUAUUGUAAUACCUGCACAACAGACUAGUUUUUUUCUAAUAUUUCCUUUUGUUUUAUAAUGGAAUAAAAGCUCCCUUAGUAUCCUUGCCCACCAACUCAUCCCAAUCCCACCUAAAAAGAAAAGAAAAGAAAAGAAAAGAAAAGAAAGAAACAAACUAUAGGUAAAAAUAAUUCUAUCCGAAUUCGAUUAAUUCGAAUAUUAUUAAUAUUUAAAUUUAUUAUUUAAUAAAAAAUUAUUUUAAAUUAUUUAAAUUUAUUAUAAAUUUAAUUAUAAUUAUUUAAAUAAAAUUUUAUUCAUUUAAUUUUAUAUGUUUUAAUUACUAAUUUAUAUAAAAAUAUUUUUUAUUGAAAAAUUUAAUGUUUCUCAAAAAAAUUAAUUUUUAAAUAAAAACAUAUAAUAAAUUUUAUAAAUAUUAUUAUAAAAUAUAUAUUUAUAUUAAAUUAAUUAUUUAUAUAAAUAAGUUCGAUGAUUGAUACCUGGUAUUCUGAAAUUCAGAAAAUAGGAUUUAAAGUGGGUGUUUAAGUUUGACCGGAGAAGAAGGUGUUCAUCCCUUCUAUCUCUUUUUCUUUUGUCUGCUAGUAACGUCUAACCGCUUUUCUGCUACAGUGCAACCUGUUUCUAUCACUUAGAUCCGUAUAUACGAAUAUGUCAGACGGCCAUUUAGUUCUAUCGGGUGCGCAUACGCAUGCGGACGCGUGAAAUGAAUCAGGUCACUCACAAGUCUAGAUCCAGUAAAAAGAAGCUCAGCCUGAUGAGGUGACAAGAGGAAGGAUAGCGGCUCUAGUCACUUCACAACCUUGCCUGCGGAUGCGCCAAAAGACAUUAAAUGGUUGACUGGCAUAGAGGGAGCGUCUGACGCUUUUAUACGUACGAACAUGUGUUACAGGAGUAAGUGGCGCUAUAAUAGAGAUACCGUUAGAUAUCAUUAAAAGAUAAAGAGAAAAAGAAUAAGAGGAGAGGAACUCUCUCCUCUCCAACUAAGCUUACACCACUAUUAUAAACUCUAUUAUCUGAAUCUCAGAACAUCAACAAUUAAAAUUUAAUAAAUUUUAUUUUUUUAAAAAUAUAAUUGUAUGAAUAAAAUAUUAUAUUAAAAAUUAAUAAUACAUGAUAAUAAAUACUAAAAUUUUUAAUUUAUUUGAUACAAUGAAAUUUGUUGAUGCAUGGGUUUGUGAGGUUUUUGAAUUUUUUACUCUAAAAUUAGAAAUCAUACCUAUUUAUUGGAUUUCUAAUUAUUUUCUAAGGUUAUUUUCUUUGGUUAUUCUCUUUGUUUUAUGAUAUAGAUGGCAUAUUUAACUAAUAAUUUUUUUUAUAUUAUUUUGAAUUUCAAUAAAUAAAAUAAUAUAUUAUAGUAUAAAUUAAUAAUUUUAAAUUCGAAAUCUAAAUAUAAAAAAAAUAUUUUACUACUUUUAAUAAUCAGAGUAAAUACAUAAAAAAAUAUAUUAUUUUAUAAAAUAAUUUUAUAUUAUUUUAUAUACUAAUAAAUAAAAUAUUAUAAUAUCUACACACAACAUACGAAUAAACGACUAAUUUUUUUCUAAUACUUUCUUUCCUUUUAUAAUGGAAUAAAAGCACCUUGGUAUCCUUGCCCAUCAACUCAUCCCAAAGAACAAACUAUAGGUUGCUUCUUAUAUGUGUUCUCUCUUUUAUUAAAAGAUAAAACACAUUGCACAUCUUAGAAUAUGAAAUGCUAAUAAGUUUUAGGUAAGGGAUAUUGGAAUCAUCUUCAAGCCUAUGAUGUUUUGAAUUUUGAGUCUCACUAAUAAAUAAUUAAGAUAACAAAUUUCCAUGAUCUUAUAACACAAAUCGUAUCAAAUGCUUCUUGAAAUUAAGGAACAAAAAUUGUCUAAGAACUUAUAACAUUACUUAAUUUUAGUUUAAUAAUUAGUUUUUCCAGGAAAUAACUCCACAGAUAGGCAAAGGAUAACUUCUUUCUACAUAUUCAUUCCUUCUACCUUUUGUUUUGCUUCUUCUCCUUAGAGAAUGUAAUGCUCUAUUGAUCUUAUUGAUUGCUUCUACCUUUUGUUUUGCAUAAAAACUGGGGAAAACUACUUUGCUUCUUCUCCUUAGAGAAUGUAAUGCUCUCUUCCACACCUUAUAUAUUGGCUCAUUAAUUAUGGAUGGGAUUGGGAUCAUCUCUCACAAAUCCACAAGUUUUCCCCUUUACUUUCUUUGUUUUCAUCUUGCCCAAUUUUCAGUCGUUAUCCUUCUAUAGAUGGCUGAACAAAUCCCAUUUAGCAUUGCGGAAAACUUAUUAGCAAAGUUGGCCUCAAUUGCUUCUGAAGAAGUUAGUUUGGUGCAUGGCUUCAAAAAGGAUCUUAGGAAGCUUCAAACUACUCUCUCCACCAUCAAAGCAAUACUUGUGGAUGCUGAGGAGAAGCAAGAGGAAAGCCUUGCAGUGAAGGACUGGAUAA
rnacentral:lncRNA from 1 species